rnacentral:tRNA from 1 species
GCCUGGGUGGCGGAACUGGUAGACGCAGUGGACUCAAAAUCCACCGCCCGCGAGGGCGUGCCGGUUCGAUUCCGGCUCCAGGCA